GAUGAACGCUGGCGGCGUGCCUAAUACAUGCAAGUCGAGCGAACGGACGAGAAGCUUGCUUCUCUGAUGUUAGCGGCGGACGGGUGAGUAACACGUGGAUAACCUACCUAUAAGACUGGGAUAACUUCGGGAAACCGGAGCUAAUACCGGAUAAUAUUUUGAACCGCAUGAUUCAAAAGUGAAAGACGGUCUUGCUGUCACUUAUAGAUGGAUCCGCGCUGCAUUAGCUAGUUGGUAAGGUAACGGCUUACCAAGGCAACGAUGCAUAGCCGACCUGAGAGGGUGAUCGGCCACACUGGAACUGAGACACGGUCCAGACUCCUACGGGAGGCAGCAGUAGGGAAUCUUCCGCAAUAGGCGAAAGCCUGACGGAGCAACGCCGCGUGAGUGAUGAAGGUCUUCGGAUCGUAAAACUCUGUUAUUAGGGAAGAACAUAUGUGUAAGUAACUGUGCACAUCUUGACGGUACCUAAUCAGAAAGCCACGGCUAACUACGUG
rnacentral:rRNA from 1 species